CUCCUUUGACGUUAGCGGCGGACGGGUGAGUAACACGUGGGUAACCUACCUAUAAGACUGGGAUAACUUCGGGAAACCGGAGCUAAUACCGGAUAAUAUUUCGAACCGCAUGGUUCGAUAGUGAAAGAUGGUUUUGCUAUCACUUAUAGAUGGACCCGCGCCGUAUUAGCUAGUUGGUAAGGUAACGGCUUACCAAGGCGACGAUACGUAGCCGACCUGAGAGGGUGAUCGGCCACACUGGAACUGAGACACGGUCCAGACUCCUACGGGAGGCAGCAGGG
rnacentral:rRNA from 1 species